UCGUAAAAAUCUUGGACCGCUAAACCCUAUCGUAUCUCUGUCUAUUUCCUUCCCUUCUUCUCUCCGUCAUAUCUCAAACUCACAGAGUUUCCGAUUCUAUUUAUAUAUAUCAGCAUCUCAUUCUCCAUCUCUCUCUCGGCUCAAGGACUGCCACCAUCCGCGGUUGCCGAUCGCUAUCCCGCUGCGGCGCUGCCAAUCGAUCCUCGCGGCGUGAUUCCUCCUGCCGCGCCACUGCUUUUCAGCACCUAAUCCCCCUCUCUCGGUAUUGAAUAGUAAAACAAAGGAUAUCAUAUUUCUGUUUCUCUAAAUUACUAAUUUAAAGAGAAAUUAAAAUUGUUGAUUGUUAUAAUCUGCUACUGCAUCUGUUUUUUGCUGGUAUCCCCACGAGAGAAAACAAUUCCCUGAUGCUUUGACCUGAUUUCAUUACUCUUGUGAUUUUGUCGAAAUUGCUCAACAGUUGGAUACAAUGGCUGAGGAUUUUUUGGGAGAUCUGGAAUGGUAUAAUGAAGAUGUGAGAGUACAAGUAGAUCAAGUUGGGUGGCAUGAGGCUGCAAUGAGGCUCAAUCGCAGGUGGUUGAUGGAUCUACCCUUGUCCAAAUCGGAGCAAAAGAGGAUUGACAAAUUACUGCCUCCCAAUGAUAUGAUAUUGCCUGAAUCUUUCCUUAGAAAAGAUGAUGGGGGCUUUGAAGACAUCAGGACUUGUAUCGAGAAGGCUUUUGGAACUCCUAACAGCCAAGAGGAUCCUAUUUGUGACCGAGAUGGUGUAAUAGUACUUAAUUCAAGUGAUGGUUUUCAAGAGGUAUCUUUCCUCUUGGAGGCUAUGACUAAUAAAGGCUUAUGUUCCUUUGUCAGCAUACUUACUGAGGGACUGGAUAUAUUUGAUAAGACAAAUUGGGGUGUGAUGAAUACAAUCAAAGAAUUGCUUCCGAAGGUUAUUGCUGACAAAAAUGACAUUUCCAGAUCAAAGCUGAAAAGAUGCUCACUACUAUUAAAAGACCUGACUAAUUUUCGGUGUAAUAUGACCAUGCACUUCACUGCGGAAUCCUAUUGUGUAGCUGCAUUCAAGGUACUUGACGAGCUAGAGCAUUUCCCUUCUAGAGCACUAUAUGCAAUGGUUAGGAAGCUGAAAGGUAUCAAAGGACACAUCCCUUGUCCUGUCAUACGACGUACAUACACUAGGGAUCACUUGGCCAAAGUGGUGAGGAGAGAGUUCACAAAGAUGGUAUCAAACAUUGGUGGAGUAGAUGAACCUCCUGAGGAAUUGGUUGGGGCACUUGGAGUUGCAAGCUUAACUUUGAAGCUAAUAAUGAACCGUCCAGUUAUAGGAGACUUCGGGAGAUUUUCACCAGAGAUGGUAGCAUUGCAUAAAGAUAUAGCUAAAGCUAUUCACGUAUUAAACGAACCAAAGGAUGUAGUAAACUCAUCCAAGGGAUUUCACAGCUUACUUGAAUCGAGAAAAGUGCUGAUGAGUAAAGUGCAGCCUUUGUUGGCUCCUAAGUUGAAUUCGUUUAGAGUGCAUAUGUCAAUACAGAAUAUAUUGUUUGAUUACCUUUAUGAGUGCAGUGAUAUGGAGAAUAUCCCUGGGUAUUUGAUAGAAUCUCUUGACAUAAUCAAUAAUAGACCUCAACUUAGGUCUUCCAAAAAGAGUUCCUCUAAAGUUUUAUCAUCUUCCAAAGAGUUGAUGAAAGAGGAAAUAGAAAAGGAGGUGCAACUUCUCCUAAAUAUCAGUGCUCAAGCCAAAGAAGUUGUAGCGAACUUGCUUCCAGAACAUGAAUUUGAUGAAGAAUUUGCUCGUGCAUACAUGGAGGAUUUCCAUGGAAGCGAUUCUCGUUGCGUUAUUUAUGAUGAUCCGCAAAUGGAGGAUGAUUCGCAGCAUUUUGAAUUUCAUUCUUGUAGUUCAUAUGACCAAACAGAAAGUAUUGGGGAGACAAACCCAGAAGAGUUCAAUUUACCUGUUCACAGAAGUAAAAGAAAUAAAUGCUUACCCCCGUCUCCCAAUAGUCAAUGCUUGGGGAAAGAGUUUCCAUCGGAAUGUAAAGCUGAGGAAUCAAAACCUGCUUGCUCUGAUUCCACGAAAGUGACAACUAAACCUCGUAUGUCUUUUCUGUCUCCCUCUCCUGCCAGAAAAUCAAGCCACAUUGAAUAUAAAUAUGAAGAAGCUACAAGUUGCUCUCCAGGAACAACUAACAAUGGAUUUUCUGACAUCAAAGUAGAAGAAACAGAUAUUGUUGAUCAGCAGAGCAAGUCAGUUAAUGGAUACCUUGAGCUCCAAGAAGCAUGUGAUGCUACUAGUAUUGCUGCCUAUCAUUUUGUGGGUUACAUGCUGGACACACUAGCCAAUACCGAAGGUAUAGAACUGUACAAAGAUGAUAGAUUAUAUCUACGUAGCCGUACUCCAGUCCUUGAAGAUACUGAAGAAUUUUCGGACUCUGUGGUGUCCAAGUUCUCUGAAAUGUGGAAGAAUGCGCUUGAGUUGUAGGCCUUUACAAGUCUGUCAGUCACAAAAUUGUCUCGUCUACCCAUGAGGAUACCAGGGCAUACAUAUCAUGACAUCAAAGUAAUCAAAUGACUAGCCAGAUGCCCAAGUUGCUGCUUUCAUUUUCAUUUCCUUGUCAAAUCAUGGACCAGGGUCUACUAUGGAAGCUGUGAAGUUACAAUCCUGGGAGUUUGUUAGGAUGCAAGAACCAUGGUAGAACGAUCAGAAUUCAGACAUUUGUGUAUUGCAGUACUAGUUAUUUGUAGAUUUUUACAUUUAGAUUUGCCUGAAAGCAUGUUCCAUUUGGUUAAUUGAUUGUGUUAGCUUUAGCCUUUUUCAGUACACACUAUGGCCGUCUGAUCUAACAGGAAAUCGAUUCGGUUGUACCUUGUAACUUGAUUCAGUUGUACCUUGUAAAUUUGAUGGAGCUUUGAUGUAACUUGUAACAGGAAAUGGUUUUAGCCAUUUUGAUUCAUUAUUGAACUUGCAUCAUGAUAUA